GAAAGCCCACAGUGGUGUGAGCUCUGGGGCUGUCUGUGGCCACAGUCCCGGCUACCCUAUCUGGGACCUAGGAUUGCUCUGGGAGUAACUUUGAGAGAGAGGAGAACAGAGAGGAAACAGUCCAGAGCCAGAGCGGGCCCAGACCAGUCGUCAGUCUCCUGCCUGCCAGCUAGACCUAGGGCGGCCCCUCGGGCUGCUCCGCUCCUCCCGGAGGAUGCUUUUGGAGUGAGGAGGGGCCGGGCUGCUUCUCACCCCUGAGCACCCUCUCCAUUCCCCUGAUUCUCUCAGGGUUUUCCGCAAUCAGGCCAGCCCUUCUACUGCUGUCCGUUUUUUGGGUCCAGCAAAAUAACAGAAGACAGCGAGGUGGACUUCCUGGAGGGGGUGAUAGCUCACAUCAGAAGCCAUCUGUAGCCCGGUAAGUCCAGGGAGAAGAAACCCCAUCCCGUGUUUUCUCCCCCUGUUCCUAGCCCGUGCCUCUUUAUGCAGG
rnacentral:lncRNA from 1 species